rnacentral:misc_RNA from 1 species
GGACUUUGAGAUAAUUGAUAAUUGAUUAAGUUUAAAAAUAAAAUCAGUACGAAAAUUGGGAAUUGACUUCGUUUUUAAUUAGUUACAUUUCUUAUUAUAUAUCGAUAAGCGUAGAGAUGCAGAGCUAAGCCACAUGCUUGGCCUCACCAAAAUACAUUGUUCAUCAAAUUGAACAGACUCCACAAGUAACAUAAACAUAAAUAUAACCGAACAACGUAGCUGCAGCCAUAUAUAAUAAUUAAUUAUUUCAAGCAAGGAUAUCCUCUAUGUGUUUGCCUUCCAAUUUGGAUUUCUCAAUGUCCUUUAAUGCCUUCUCCUUAGCCAAUUUCUUAAGCCUGGCUAGCUCAAGGUCCUUGCUCAUCUUCCUCCUAUACAUCUCUGCAAAUGUAAUUGGCGCUUCCAGCACUGGCUUCACUCCCUCUUCGAUCUUCAGAGGAUAAACUGUUGCCUCUGUUGCUGGGUUCUGGAAUGUGGCUAUGGAUAACCUGCUGCAAUUUGAGUUCACCACUGCUUGGUGAUCUGCAUUUUUGAAUCUCCCAUUGCUUAGGUACUGCAUCACAUUAAUAGCAAAACCAGCAACUCCAUUGGGUCAAACAGGCAAUUGCUCAAGUGUAUUGGAACACAUUGUUACACGUAGCAAUACCAUAAACACUAAUUUUUUAUUUUUUCACUUCAUAAUUUAAUUAGGGAGAGAGAGAAAAGUAAAAUGGGAAAUAAUUGUUGUACUUACGUGACCAUGAUCUCCAAGAUUGACGACAAAGGCACCUUCAACAGGCUGAACAGUGAUCCAAGUCUUUCCAUCAUCCCUGGUAGCCUGGAGACCCCCCACCUGGUCCUGGAGCAAGAGGGUGAUGGUUCCUGGAUCAGUGUGGCGUUUGAGUCCAAGAGUGAGGUCAGGUUGGGGACAUUUUGGAUAGAAAUUGACCACAACUUUCUGAUCCAUGUCCACACAUGCCUUAGUCAAGGCCUCUUUCUCUAACCCCAUGGCUUCUGAUAAAACUUCCAGGAGCUUGCAAGCAAGUCCCAUUAACUUCUCACUGUACUCCUCAGUCACUCCUCUCCAUCCCUCGGGCUUGUCGGGCCACCUUGAAUAGUCUCUGGUGCGAAGUGGGUAUGAGAAAUAUGUCACUAUUUCACGCCAAUCUUGCACUGCCUCUCCCUGUAAAUGGCUAGAGACGAUGAAGCCACCCUUCUUCCCGCCGGACAUGUCAAAACGAAGCUUCUCCUCCGACGGCAAGGCAAAAAACUCCUUAGCAAGACGAGUCAUUUCAGAUAUAAGCUUAGCAUCAACACCAUGAUCAACGACCUGAAAAAUCCCCCAGUCUUCACAUGCUUCAACUAUUUUCUUGCAUAUCUCAGCUCUCUUCCCACCAACAUCAUCUAUCCCAGAUAAUGAAAUCACUGGAAUUUGGUCGCUGAAUUGAUUGUAAGCAACUUUUGGACGCUCAUCUUCGUCUCGGACGAAGCUUUCCUGCAGGGUUUUCUCCUCAGCGAGGGCUGUAAGAGUCGUAGGAGCCAUUGAAAAUGGUUAGAAGAGAAUGAUUUUGUUGGUUGGCGUUUAAGAGAAGAAGGGGAGAGGUAAUUCUUUAAUUUGUGAAUUGUGAUUAUAGGUAGAAGAGAGGGUGUGUAUAUAUAUCAUGAGGCUUGGAGACAGCAGGUUAGCGGGGGAGGGUGGAGGAAAAUG